UAGGAACUCUGGAGGCUCUUGAGAGAGGCCCUUUUGAAACAAUCUCUGGCUGGAAGACUCUUUGAGGAAGGACGCUGGCCUGGUGUCACUAAAAUCCUUGUUUAGUCAGACCUUGUGGUGUUGGGGAUCAACGAAGCCUCCUUGAAUAUGUGUCAUGAAUUCUGGGACCCAAUCUCCUAACCCAUGCUUAGACUGGAAGGCUGGAUCACUAGAGGAUGGCUGGAUAUUUCUCCCCACAGGAUUCUAAAGUCUUAUUCCAGUGCCUUAAAGAAGUUUAAUAGCAAGGAAGACAGUAUGAUGUAUUGGAAAGUAUGCUGCAUCAUGACAGGCAACCUGAGUUCAAAUACCACUUUGGAUACUUAUCAGAUGAGGAAAAUGAGUCCCAUUGAAGUUGAACAACUUGUUCCAGGUCAUAAUGGAGUGCUCCCAGGAGGGAUGGUCAUGGAACCAAUCUGAUCAGAGGAUCUUUCCAUCUUAGAAAAAUGAAGCUAAUGGAUUGAACUCCCUUCCCAGCUUCCUGUGAAAAAGAAAACCAGAAUCGACAUUUGGCAAGUAAUUUGAUGUCUUGGGAAUAGUUUGGGGGCAUUU
rnacentral:lncRNA from 1 species